rnacentral:rRNA from 1 species
CCUACGGGAGGCAGCAGUGGGGAAUAUUGAGCAAUGGACGCAAGUCUGACCCAGCAACGCCGCGUGAAGGAAGAAGGCUUUCGGGUUGUAAACUUCUUUUAAGGGGGAAGAGCAGAAGACGGUACCCCUUGAAUAAGCCACGGCUAACUACGUGCCAGCAGCCGCGGUAAUACGUAGGUGGCAAGCGUUGUCCGGAUUUACUGGGUGGAAAGGGCGUGCAGCCGGAGAGACAAGUCAGAUGUGAAAUCCACGGGCUCAACCCGUGAACUGCAUUUGAAACUGUUUCCCUUGAGUGUCGGAGAGGUAAUCGGAAUUCCUUGUGUAGCGGUGAAAUGCGUAGAUAUAAGGAAGAACACCAGUGGCGAAGGCGGAUUACUGGACGAUAACUGACGGUGAGGCGCGAAAGCGUGGGGAGCAAACAGGAUUAGAUACCCUUGUAGUC